rnacentral:ncRNA from 1 species
UAAAAUCCGAUGAAAGGAAGAGUAAGUAUAGCAACUAUUUCAGCGAGCUAGAGUUUGGUGUGAGUCUAGUAUUAGUCUAUAUUGAAAAGAGUCCUAGAGGAUAUUUUCUGAAAUAUUAGUAAGAAAAUACGGUAGCCACCGUUAAAGGUCAAUGAGUGGGCAAUAUGCCAAUAAGAGUGGUAACACGGGAUAAAAUCUCGUCUCUUAA